UACGGGGGGUGCGAGCGUUGUCCGGAAUCACUGGGCGUAAAGGGCGCGUAGGUGGUUUGAUAAGGGUGUGGUGAAAGUUCGGGGCUCAACCCUGAAUCGGCCGUCGAUACUCCCGGGCUUGAGCACUGUAGAGGCAGAUGGAAUUCCGGGUGUAGCGGUGGAAUGCGUAGAGAUCCGGAGGAAGACCGGUGGCGAAGGCGGUCUGCUGGGCAGUUUCUGACACUGAUGCGCGACAGCGUGGGGAGCAAACAGG
rnacentral:rRNA from 1 species